rnacentral:rRNA from 1 species
ACUAACGCUGGCGGCGUGCUUCACCCCUGCCAGUCGAACGGAAAGGCCCUGCUUUUGUGGGGUGCUCGCGUGGCGAACGGGUGAGUAACACGUGAGUAACCUGCCCUUGACUUUGGGAUAACUUCAGGAAACUGGGGCUAAUACCGGAUAGGAGCUCCUGCUGCAUGGUGGGGGUUGGAAAGUUUCGGCGGUUGGGGAUGGACUCGCGGCUUAUCAGCUUGUUGGUGGGGUAGUGGCUUACCAAGGCUUUGACGGGUAGCCGGCCUGAGAGGGUGACCGGCCACAUUGGGACUGAGAUACGGCCCAGACUCCUACGGGAGGCAGCAGUGGGGAAUAUUGCACAAUGGGCGGAAGCCUGAUGCAGCAACGCCGCGUGCGGGAUGACGGCCUUCGGGUUGUAAACCGCUUUCGCCUGUGACGAAGCGUGAGUGACGGUAAUGGGUAAAGAAGCACCGGCUAACUACGUG